GACGAACCGUGCAAACGUUGUUCGGAAUCACUGGGCGUAAAGAGCUCGUAGGCGGUUCGGUAAGUCAGGUGUGAAAUCUCCACGCUCAACGUGGAGGCGCCACCUGAAACUGCCGUGACUCGAGUCCGGUAGGGGAGUGUGGAAUUCCCGGUGUAGCGGUGAAAUGCGCAGAUAUCAGGAGGAACACCAAUGGCGAAGGCAGCUCGCUGGGACGUGACUGACGCUGAGACGCGAAAGCGUGGGGAGCAAACAGG
rnacentral:rRNA from 1 species